UACGUAGGGUGCGAGCGUUGCCCGGAUUUAUUGGGCGUAAAGGGCGCGUAGGCGGCCACGCACGUCCGUUGUGAAAUCGCCCGGCUCAACUGGGCGGGGUCAGCGGAUACGGUGUAGCUCGAGCAAGCUAGGGGGCAAUGGAAUUCCCGGUGUAGUGGUGGAAUGCGUAGAUAUCGGGAGGAACACCAGUGGCGAAGGCGGUUGCCUGGAGCUUUGCUGACGCUGAGGCGCGAAAGCGUGGGGAGCGAUCCGG
rnacentral:rRNA from 1 species